AACGAACGCUGGCGGCAUGCCUAACACAUGCAAGUCGAACGAGACCUUCGGGUCUAGUGGCGCACGGGUGCGUAACGCGUGGGAACCUGCCCUUAGGUUCGGAAUAACUCCCCGAAAGGGGUGCUAAUACCGGAUAAUGUCUUCGGACCAAAGAUCUAUCGCCUUUGGAUGGGCCCGCGUUGGAUUAGCUAGUUGGUAGGGUAAAAGCCUACCAAGGCGACGAUCCAUAGCUGGUCUGAGAGGAGGCUCAGCCACACUGGGACUGAGACACGGCCCAGAACGCUACGGAGCGGAGGAGUAGGGAAUACUAGGCGAGGGGGCCAAGUCCGAUCAAGCCAUGCCCGGUGAGUGAUGAAGGGCUUAGGGUUGCAAAGUCCCUUUACACGGGAUGAUAAUGACAGUACCGGGAGAAUAAGCUCCGGCUAACUCCGUG
rnacentral:rRNA from 1 species